GGAGAGCUUCUCAUUGUGCAGGUUGGCCAGUUUGCAAAUUGCCUAAUUGAGGCUAGAAAUGAAUUGCAGCAUAAAUCUGAGAUCAUUCAAUGCAAGUUUACAAUAACAAAGGCACUGCUAUUCAAGGCUGACAGGUCAUCGUUCGACCGCCUUUGUCAACAGACCAUGUACAUGGAUGGUAUCCUCCAGUUUGCAGUUUGUGUCAACAGAACUGUGCUUCAGCGAUCCAGACCAUUGAUACUAUGGGCCCCCACUUUUGAAGGUCAUAUCUCGAAAACCAUUCAGAUGAGAAGACCCUUCCCAACCCAGUUGGAUGAUGAGGUUGUAUGAUGAAC